rnacentral:rRNA from 1 species
UAACAGGAAGCAGCUUGCUGCUUCGCUGACGAGUGGCGGACGGGUGAGUAAUGUCUGGGAAACUGCCUGAUGGAGGGGGAUAACUACUGGAAACGGUAGCUAAUACCGCAUAACGUCGCAAGACCAAAGAGGGGGACCUUCGGGCCUCUUGCCAUCGGAUGUGCCCAGAUGGGAUUAGCU